GUGUUAGUUCGCUAACACAUAUACUAAAAUAGGAACGAUACAGAGAAGAUUAGCAUGGCCCCUGCGCAAGGAUGACACGCAAACUCGUGAAGCGUUCCUCAUUUUC
ensembl:snRNA U6 U6 spliceosomal RNA